UACAGAGGGUGCGAGCGUUAAUCGGAAUUACUGGGCGUAAAGCGUGCGUAGACGGUUAUCUAAGUCGGAUGUGAAAGCCCCGGGCUCAACCUGGGAAUUGCAUUCGAGACUGAAUAGCUAGGGUACGGUAGAGGGAAGCGGAAUUUCCGGUGUAGCGGUGAAAUGCGUAGAUAUCGGAAGGAACAUCAGUGGCGAAAGCGGCUUCCUGGACC
rnacentral:rRNA from 1 species